CGGGACUAGAAUUCUGAUAAGCUGUGCAGGGCUCUAUUAGUCCCCUUGUUUCAACUAAAAGUUCCCCUGGGCUUGGCGGGCCUCCAAACUGCCCGGACCCUUAUGCACCUUCAUACCCAUUAUUUUCUCUUGCAAAUAUAACAAAUGGUAUAAUGUUUUUUUUUUUAUUUAUUUUUUUUUUACAUCAGUUAAACAAGAACUCAAUAAUAACAGACUUCUGUUUAAGACACACCAUAUUGCCUAUAUUUGCUCUAUUUCACCAAUAAAUAUAGCUCAUUCCAAACAGAGGCACGGUGCUGUUUUGUGUCUCUGAGCAUCAUGACAGUGUUUCAUUCCUGAAUUAAUCAACCGUUUAAAUGAUCAAUGACUCACUUAUUACAGUUUUUCUGAAUGCUUAAGCGCUAUUUGUGAUUCUUGUAGCAAAAUUUCUAAAACUAUUAAUACGUAUAGCAAAACCACUCACUGAGUUUGCAAAACUAAAAGCACAAACACUGCUUUCCACUCAGUUUGCAAUUUUGUAACACACACUUUGCAAAACUGUAGGCACAAUCCACUGCACAACACUCUUUUUGCAGAACUUUAAACACAACUCACUACUUACACUCAAUUACCAACACACUCCUAGCAAAAUUAUACACAUGUAUGGCUAUCAUUAACAAUAUUUUGCCCACUGUCUGGCACACUUUCAAAUGUGAAAACUGUUUUAGAUAAUAAGUUCACUUUGCAAUCAGCCUAAGCACUAUAAAUAAGUCACAGGUAAGCUGUCUGUGUGGAGUUCAAUGGAUGGAGCAGUAAGAGUGAGAAGAGUGAGAAUCAGAGGAGGCCGAGAGAGAGGACGUGGAGGUGAAGAAGCGAGAGGGUUAGAGGAAGUUAGAGGAAGAGGACAAGGAGGUGCAAGAAGAGGACGAGGAGGGGAAAGAGGGAGGGUAAGAAGAGUAAGAUAUAGAAUGACUGAUGACAUCAGAGCUACAAUAGUGGACCAUGUCAUCAACCAUGUGAUGACCCUGAGGGAAGCUGGCCAACGGGUUCAGCCUAAUUUGAGCCGCUACACUGUGGCAAGCAUCAUUAGGACAUUUCGAAAUGAGAAUCGUUAAGUACUUUGUAGCACUGCCAUACUCUAAUGAGAAACACAACAGUACCAUACAUGCAAUAAUACUGAAAUUGUUACUUUACAGAAUUGCUAGAUGUCCAGAUGUUGGGGGCAGAGGAAGAAUGUUCACUCCAGAGCAAGAGACCCAUAUAGUGAACAUGAAUCAGAAUGAAGCAAAUUUACAGAGUUCCUUUCGAGAGAAACACAGAACGUGUAAAGCAACUGUGAUAUGACUAUGUGCAGAGAGUGAUGGAACUAGAAGCAGAUGCCAUGGGACAUGAGCUACUUUUUGUAGAUGAGGCCGGUUUUAACCUCAGUAAAACCAGG